UUAUCCUACGGGGGGCAGCAGUCGAGAAUCAUUCACAAUGGGGGAAACCCUGAUGGUGCGACGCCGCGUGGGGGAAUGAAGGUCUUCGGAUUGUAAACCCCUGUCAUGUGGGAGCAAAUUAAAAAGAUAGUACCACAAGAGGAAGAGACGGCUAACUCUGUGCCAGCAGCCGCGGUAAUACAGAGGUCUCAAGCGUUGUUCGGAAUCACUGGGCGUAAAGCGUGCGUAGGCUGUUUCGUAAGUCGUGUGUGAAAGGCGCGGGCUCAACCCGCGGACGGCACAGGAUACUGCGGAACAUG
rnacentral:rRNA from 1 species